CUAAUGCAGGAUAUAGACAUUGCUGAAAACACCUAAAUAAACCAUGCCACACUGCCAAUUUAUUUUUCAUAAAUGAUUUUCACUCUCCUCUAAUACAGUGUAUAUGUUUGAAUCACCUGAAAGUAAGCGAGUGUGUUAGUUGCCCAGUCACGUCUGACUCUUUGAAACUCCAUGGACUGACUGUAGCCCGCCAGGCUCCUCUGUCCGUGGAAUUCUCUAGGCAAGAAUACUGAGGGUUUGGAGUUGAAGAUGAGCCCCAGAGAAAGUGAUUCAGAAAGAAGAGAGUGUCUCUAGCAAGGAAUGUUUUUCUCUUUUUCCCUCUUUACUCACCUCCUCCUUUGCUGUGAGGUGGAGUGGAGAUGCCUUUAUCCAGUAGUACAUUGGAACCUGAGACCAUUAGUUUGGAUUCUUUGUUUCUACGUAGUGCCGAGACCUCUACCUAAGUCUUGGUCAGUCAUCUGUAAAAGGGGGAUGAUAAUAGCCCUUAUCUCUGGGAGGAGAUCUCAGAGGAUUUUUUGUGAUAUUCUCUACCUAUUAUUUUCUUGACCCUCAUUGUGAAUAAAAUGUACCCAGUCAUCCAA